rnacentral:rRNA from 1 species
GACGAACGCUGGCGGCGUGCCUAAUACAUGCAAGUCGAGCGGACAGAUGGGAGCUUGCUCCCUGAUGUUAGCGGCGGACGGGUGAGUAACACGUGGGUAACCUGCCUGUAAGACUGGGAUAACUCCGGGAAACCGGGGCUAAUACCGGAUGGUUGUUUGAACCGCAUGGUUCAAACAUAAAAGGUGGCUUCGGCUACCACUUACAGAUGGACCCGCGGCGCAUUAGCUAGUUGGUGAGGUAACGGCUCACCAAGGCAACGAUGCGUAGCCGACCUGAGAGGGCGAUCGGCCACACUGGGACUGAGACACGGCCCAGACUCCUACGGGAGGCAGCAGUAGGGAAUCUUCCGCAAUGGACGAAAGUCUGACGGAGCAACGCCGCGUGAGUGAUGAAGGUUUUCGGAUCGUAAAGCUCUGUUGUUAGGGAAGAACAAGUACCGUUCGAAUA